rnacentral:rRNA from 1 species
AUUGAACGCUGGCGGCAGGCCUAACACAUGCAAGUCGAACGAGUGGCGGACGGGUGAGUAAUCUCUGGGAAACUGCAUGAUGGAGGGGGAUAACUACUGGAAACGGUAUACAAUACCGCAUACCAUCAGAUGUGCCCAGAUGGGGUUAGCUAGUUGGUGGGGUAACGGCUCACCAAGUCGACGAUCCCUAGCUGGUCUGAGAGGAUGACCAGCCACACUGGAACUGAGACACGGUCCAGACUCCUACGGGAGGCAGCAGUGGGGAAUAUUGCACAAUGGGCGCAAGCUUGAUGCAGCAAGGCCGCGUGUAUGAUGAAGGCCGUCGGGUUGUAAAGUACUUUCAGCGGGGAGGCGUUACCCGCAGAAGAAGCACCGGCUAACUCCGUGCCAGCAGCCGCGGUAAUUC